rnacentral:rRNA from 1 species
AGAGUUUGAUCAUGGCUCAGAUCGAACGCUGGCGGCGUGGCUAAGGCAUGCAAGUCGAACGGACCAUGUGGAAGGUAACGGAAGCAUGGUUAGUGGCGAACGGGUGAGUAAUGCAUGGGUAACGUACCUUGAGCGCAGGAAUAGCGGCGCCCUUCGGGGCUUUAGCGAAAGUGCCGGUAAUACCUGAUAAUAUCCAAGGAUCGCAUGGUUUUUGGAUCAAAGUGGGGGAUCCUUCGGGACCUUACAGCUCGAGACCGGCCCAUGUCCUAUCAGCUUGUUGGUGGGGUAACGGCCUACCAAGGCUAUGACGGGUAGCCGGCGUGAGAGCGUGAUCGGCCACAUCGGGACUGAGACACUGCCCGGACACCUACGGGUGGCUGCAGCAACGAAUAUUCCGCAAUGGACGAAAGUCUGACGGAGCGACGCCGCGUGAAGGAUGAAGUCUUUCGGGAUGUAAACUUCAAUAGUUUGUCAGGAAGCAAAACGAGUGAAUAACUUGUAGCGUUGACCAGCAUACGAAAGGGGUGGCUAACUCCGUGCCAGCAGCCGCGGUAAGACGGAGACCCCUAGCGUUGUUCGGAAUUACUGGGCUUAAAGCGCGUGUAGGCGGAACGGUAAGUACUUUGUGAAAGCCCCGGGCUCAACCCGGGUAUUGCUUGGUAUACUGUCGUUCUUGAGGCAGGUAGGGGUUACUGGAACCUUAGGUGGAGCGGUGAAAUGCGUAGAUAUCUAAGGGAACGCCUGUGGCGAAAGCGGGUGACUGGACCUGUACUGACGCUGAGACGCGAAAGCGUAGGGAGCGAACGGGAUUAGAUACCCCGGUAGUCUACGCCGUAAACGAUGCGCACUAGGCUCGAGAGGCUCUGACGUCAUUCGGGCCGAAACAAAAGCGAUAAGUGCGCCGCCUGGGGAGUACGGUCGCAAGAUUAAAACUCAAAGGAAUUGACGGGGGCUCACACAAGCGGUGGAGCAUGUGGAUCAAUUCGAAGCAACGCGAAGAACCUUACCUGGGUUUGACAUGCUAGGAUGCCCUUCCCGAAAGGGGAGUAAGCUGCCUUCGGGUGAAACUAGUACAGGUGUUGCAUGGCUGUCGUCAGCUCGUGCUGUGAAGUGUCGGGUUAAGUCCCUUAACGAGCGAAACCCUUAUCGUUAGUUACCAGCGGUUCGGCCGGGGACUCUAGCGAGACUGCCGGCGUUAAGCCGGAGGAAGGUGGGGACGACGUCAAGUCAUCAUGGCCUUUAUGCCCAGGGUGUCACACGUGCUACAAUGGGAUGUACAGAGCGAAGCAAGACCGUGAGGUGGAGCAAAUCGCACAAAACAUUCCUCAGUUCGGAUUGGGGUCUGCAACUCGACCCCAUGAAGUCGGAAUCGCUAGUAAUCGCGUAUCAGCCAUGACGCGGUGAAUAUGUUCCUGAGCCUUGUACACACCGCCCGUCAAGUCAUGGAAGCUGGGAGUUCCCGAAGCCGCCACAAUUCAGUGGUGUCGACGGAAAGCCUGGUGACUGGGACUAAGUCGUAACAAGGUA